CUUUUUAAAUUCUCGGCAUAGUGUAAUGAUUACUAUUCCAAAACAGAAGAUAUGUUGGCAAACUGCCCUGUAUUUGAAAAUAGAGGAAAUGCCCUGGAAAGAAUGAGAUGUGGUAAAGAGAGGAAAUGACAAUGUACUGAAAAGACUGGGCUGUAAGUCAUCACAGCGGCGCCCUGAAACCCGAUAUGUCAGGCAAGCUGGUGGGAUCCUGGGAUCCCUCAUGUAACGGCACUCAUUCUGACAGAAGCAGAGAUAAAACAGACUAAGUACACAGAGGAGUUUAAGGUUUCGUGAAUGUAAGUGCUGAGUACAGAAUGGUGCUCAAUAAAAGCUUGUUAAUUGAUGGACCACAGGUUUGUGACAAGACUUCUCAGAGUCUGAUUCUUUCAAGGUGGGAUAUAAGAGUAAGUAAAUGGCAUGGGGAAAAUCUGAUUGCCACAGACAGAAGAAUGAAACUGGAUGCCUAUUUCUCACAAUACACAAAAGCGAUUCAAGAUUAAAGACUUAACUGUAAGACUUGAAACUGUAAAAAUACUAGAAGAAAAUCUAGGGAAAACUGUUCUGGACAUUGGCCUAGAAAAAGAAUUUCUGACUAAGACUUCAAAAGCACAGUAAACAAAAAUAGACAAACGGGACUUAAUGAAACUAAAACUCUUCUGCAGAGCAAAGAAAAUAAGAAACAGAGUGAACAGACAACCUGCAAAAUGGGAGAUAGACAAUGGAGACUAAGAAGAGCAAAGGAAUGACAGAGAGGUGGAGGAUGAGAAAUUACUUAAUGGGUACAAAGUACAUUAUUUGAGUGAUGGAUGCCCUAAAAGCUCUGACUUGACCAUUAUGCAAUCUCUGCAUGCAAUAAAAUUGCACUUGCACCCCAUACAUUUAUAUAAAUUAAAAAGUAAAAUAUCCCUCUUUACCACUAGUAAUGAUUUUCCCCUUAAAAUCUAUUUUAACUAUGUAGCAGACCCUCUUAAUAUUCUGCUCAUAUUUUCCUGUCACUUGCCAUUGCUGUGCACACUGAUGGUUUUCCUACUGCCAUCACCAGUACUCCAUUUGAGAGCUUUCUCUGGUAAGCUUGGUUCGUGUGCAGGGAAGGGAGGCUAAAGGUUCUGGGAAGUUGAAACACCAGUAGCAGUCCUCAUCCAGUGACAGAUGGAAACUGGAGGAUAAAUAACUCAGCUUCGUCAUCUAUUGGGUGGGACCACUGUGAGGGAUAUUCUGUAUUAUCUCUCAGAGGUCCUCAGCAGGGCUGACUCCCAGGUGUCCUUUGUGGUAACCUGCUCACUAAUACCUGGCAUUGGCUUCUUUCUCUUCCUUUUAUCACCCUUUCCCCUUCCCAGUUCUCCUAUUAGAGCUUCUUGUGAUCACUUUCCAAAUGAACUAUGUGCUAUGGUUUGAAUAUUUGUCACCUCCAAAACUCAUGCUCAAUUUAAUCCCUAAUGUAGGAAUAUUGAGUGGUGCAGCCUUUAAGAUGUGAUUGGAUCAUGAGGACUCUCCCCUCAUGAAUGGAUUAAUUCAUUCAUGGAUUAAUUGAUUAAUGAAUUAAUGAGUUAAUGGAUUAAUGGGUUAUCAUUGGAGGGGAACUUGUGGUUUAUAAGAGAGAGACCUGAGCUAGCAUCUUAGUAUGCUCAGCCCCCUGUCUGUGUGAUGCUCUGCACUACCUUGGGAUUGUGUAGAAAGUCUUCACCAACAAGAAGGCUUUUACCAGAUAUGUCCCCUUGGCCUUGGGCUUCCCAGUCUCAAG
rnacentral:lncRNA from 1 species